ACCUCCCGGGCCCCUCCCCAGACACCGCCCCUUCCCAGCACUGGACCCCCUCCUCUGCUCCCGGGGCGCCCCCCUGGACUCCGGGGAGGCCCCCACUCCUGCCCGCUCAGGGCGAGGGCGUCCGAGCGUUGACUUUCAGGGAGCCCCCCUCCCCCGCCGCGCAACUUUCGGUCGCUCCCCCGCCCCUGUCCCCUGUCCCGCCGCUCCGACGUGGCUGCUGGGGGUUGGGGUUGGGGUGGGGGGGGGGGGUAUAAAGGGCCGCAGGCGGCGCGGGCCGAGCCUCGGGACGUGGCGCGUCCACUCCAGCGACCUCAGCUCCAGCCUCAUGGUUAAACUGCCACCUCAGCUGAAAGGAGCCGGGAGAGGGUGGCAGAGAACGUUCCCCAGAGGAGACUGCCAUGCUGCUGUGGGUCAGUGACCUUAACAGGAAACCUUGCUGUCUGUGAUCCUUACAAUGCAAUGAGAUUGUAUCCAUAUCAUGAAAAACCUCAGCAUAGAAACUGUGGUUCUAGACGUUUCCAUCAUAACUGGAUUUUCCUACGGAUCAACAGGGAACACGUUACAGUCACCAACCACAAGUGUUCUCUCUUCACCCCGUUUUGCUUCUUUUAGAUCCAUGGCCUUGAGAAAUUGAAAAAAUGGCCAGAUCAUCUGAUCAACCCCAUCAGUUUUUUUUUUCUUAAAAUGGCCAAACAUUGAGAAAAAGAUAGGAAGUUUUAUGCAUCACUAAAGUUACCUGGUGCUGUUUUUUGUUCAGCAAUUUUAAAUAUUUGGAAGACUCACAAUUACAAUCACAGGUGACUGAAUCGCCGAGGAAGGAGAGCUUGGAGCCGUCAGCUCCUAAUCACAUCCCCUGAGCUUCACCAGAAACUCUCGCUUUUUUUUUUUUUUUUUUUUGCUUUCUUUUAUUUAAGCCCAAGAAAUGCUCACUCCCCUUUCAGUGCAGCAGCCCACUCCCCUGGCAGAGGUAAGCAUAGCAGCUCUAUUCUAAAAAGCAGCUCCAAAACUAGGACGGAAUAGAAAGAAUAGUUAGGGCACAUCUGAGAAUGAGCGUGGGACAAAGGGCGGGUCCCUUGGGCCUUAAUGGAAGGACCUGGUCCUCCAGGUGGGCAGCAGGCCUCUGCCAGCCUGUGCGUUGCACAUCACCAUGGCCCCUUCCCUUGCGUCUCGGUUUCCACCCCGCUGCAUCCAGGAACUUCUCUGAGCUUCCCGCGUCUGGUCAAGGGAACAUGCUUCGCCACUGCCGCUGGUUCAGUGCAGGUCAGCACAGAGCAACGUGGCCCUUGCUUCAUCCAGGUGAGCUCGACUCACCUGUGAUCUCUCUUAAGCUCAUUUCACAGGUGAAAACCACCUUCCCACCCCUCACAGCCACGUUCGAAGGAGCAGCCUGCCUAAAUCCUGCCCACCAAGAACCUUAGCAAGAACUCAAGGGUACAGCAACCCGAGCACAUAUUCAGUAAGAAAUGCUCCUUAUUUUUUACUUAGGAAAAUUAAUCUCACAUAAUCUUAGCAAUUAAUCUCAUUUUUAAUAAGGGCCUAUUAAUAAAAGAUGUGUUUUUACUUCAACUGUGUAUCCAGAAGAACAAAGUAUUCUAGAAAUCUGAAAGUAUUUUUUCUGGUGUUGAUGGUUAAAUGUCUAGAUGUAUGUAUUUUUCUAGCAUCCCAGUUUGCUUAAAAUAAAAUCGGUGUGCUCAAAA